GCCGCACAUUGGCAGUUUGUUUAGUUGGUUAACCUCCCGUUUUUGGUUCCUACUGGUUAUAAUGGCACUGGGGCGGAACUAAUUGCCGCCGUCAUAUGUUUCCUACACCACACCUUUAAGCGACGUACCUAGCCAAACAGCGCGAAAGAAGCAGCACAAUCAAUAAGCUAUAAAUUAAAGUUAAAAGUAAAAGCACAUAAGAAGAAGAAGAAAAAACUAUAAAGGACAAGCAAUAAGAUAAGAUUCCCUCAAGUAGUAAGCAGUGGACGAGGUAUGUUUAUCAUUUAUUUAUAUCUAAGAAGAAUGUGAACGAUUUUAUUGUGUUGCUUUCAAUUGCAUGGUUGUGCGUGAUAGUGAUUUGCAUACUAUGUAAAGUUGUGAAUAUGUUUAUGUAAGUUAAUUUUGUAAAUGUGCAAGUUAAUAUUGAGCUGCGGGCUGUAUGUGAGGUGUGUGUGAAGUGUUUUUUGGUGUAAUGUAACACCUGUUGUGCUGCUGUAAAAACGGACAUUUGCAUAUUGUGAAUUUGUAUUUAUUUUCAUUUAUUUUUCUCUCUAAACCCAGUUCUCACGGGUUGGUUCGACCUGGAAAUAAAACCCCGUUUUCUAACAAAGACCUCUGGCCUCGUGUGAACUACUUGGGAGCUACAGUGAGAACUCGACUGCUCUGCAUGAGUAGCCGAGGAAGACGCAACCAGACAGCAGCGGCCAUCUCCAUGCCGCGUGUGUAUCCUUUACCACCAGGACGGCGUGAACAUGGCUGCAAAUAAAAGACUUAAGUGUUUUGCACUGAGAGACUGAGAUCAUUUGUGCAUUUUUCAGUACAGUUUAUUUAAACCAUUGACUUUAAGUGCACAAGAGACUGAAACUUUAUUUUCAUUUUCAUAUAACAAGUUGAUGUUUACCUACCUUUUAUUUGAUUAUUUGAAGCGCAUUGAUACUCACAUUGUGUUGAUAUUGAGAUUGUGUAUAUUGGUGGUUACACUGUAAAAUUUCUGUUAAACCAAUGACACUAAAUUAAGAGACAACUGUAUUACUGUGAAUUUAAAAGUGUAUUGCUGUUACUUAGCAAGUGUUUAAUAUGUCUGUAGCUUACCUUUUGAAAGAGGCAAUGUCUUUGUGUUUAUUUUUCACUCUGAGUGAUUUAAGUUAAACACAGCUGUAAACAAAUACCUAAAAAAUAUUGUAAGCUACCCUGAACCCAACUUUACUACUGAGUUAAUUACUAAGCUAAAGAUAAUUUUGGAUUUAAACCAAACUAAAGUAACCCAAGUAAAAUGUCAGAGUUUGAGCUAGCCCCUGAGAGUGACGAAGAACGUGUCAGUGAUGAUGACAUGAAGCAGCACUGCACAGAAGCACAACCACAAACGACCGAAGGCACUGAAGCUGAUAACCCCACUACCUCACAAGAGCCACAAAGAGGCCAAAGAGUUCGUAAAUUGACGGAGAAGGGCCAAGAACUGCACGAUGAGCAAGUAAGAAAGGUUGCACACCGUUUCAGCCUGAGCUACGAGAAGUGGAAGACUAUCAUUAAGGACGCCAAAGGUACGCUGAGUGGUCAAUGCUCAAACAACCUGCUGCAUGAACACAUUACCAAGGUCAGCAAUGCCUCAAAUAAUCUAAAUGAUGUUUAUGAAGAGCUAAGACACAUCAAAAUUCCAGACCAAGACACACGUCGCAGAGUAGACACCUGUGAAGCAGUAACAAAGAAGAUAAUCAAAACUGCAAGAGGUUAUCUAAAAACUGAAAGGGGUGAAUGUCAAGUGGAUGAUAAACAAGGUGUUGAAGAAACAGGAUCUGUGAGCAAGUCUGUAGUCUCAGAUAAUAUAAGCAUUAAGUCUCAACACACCAAGUCCUCCAAGUUCUCUGCCCAAAGCUCUCGAAGCAGCUCAAAAAUCACAUCCAGACGUUCAAGUCAGUCUUCUUCACACAGGCAAUACGCCGCUGCCGAAGCUGCUGCCAAUGAAGCCGAAUUUCAAGUUCUGCUCGAAAAGGAACGACAUAUCGAAGAACUUGAAAAACUUGAAGCCGAAGAAUCAGAGAGGAAGAGGGUUCUUGAAGCCGAAGAAUCAGAGAGGAAGAGGGUUCUUGAAGCCGAAGAAUCAGAAAGGAAGAGGGUUCUAGAGGCCAAGCGCAGGCAAAUAGAGCGAAUGGAUACAUUAAAGAAUCUAAAGGCUGCCAAGGCCCGACUGCAAGUAUAUGAGCAGAAUGAAGGCUCAGAUGAAGAAGUGGAACCGCUGCUCCAUCAACAUGUCCCCUUGAAGGAGGAAAGGAAGGAGGUCAAACAGGAACGUAACCUGUCAAAGCAUCACCCUCAACCACAAGCUAUGCCACUUCUGAACAAAGAAGAUACCACUGCAGCCCUCGUGAAAGUGUUUGCAGACUCCAUCAGCGCGAGUCGUCUUCCCAUACCUGAACCAUCAAUGUUCAACGGCGAUCCACUCAGAUUCAACGACUGGAAGGUUUCAUUUAAGACACUUAUUGACCGGAAAAACAUACCAGGUGACGAGAAGAUAUAUUACUUGCGAAGGUAUGUGGGUGGAGUUGCAAAAAGGGCCAUAGAGAGUAAUUUCCUUCUAGGCACAGAGUCCGCCUAUUGCGCAGCGUGGACCAUCUUAGAAGAGAGAUAUGGCAAUCCAUUCCUCAUAGCCAAAGCCUUCAGAGACAAGCUUGAUUCAUGGCCCAAGAUAAGCUCCAAAGGAAGCUCAGAACUCCGAGAACUUGCUGACUUCCUCCGUGGCUGUGAAGCCGCCAUGUCUCAGAUUGAGGGUCUUGAGAUACUCAAUGACUGCAAUGAAAAUCAGAAAAUACUUGCUAAACUUCCAGACUGGCUGAGCUCAAGAUGGAAUAGGAAGGUUAUGGAAGAGGAAGAACAUAGUCGCAGGUACCCAAGCUUCAGUCAGUUUGUCAUGUUCGUUACACGUGAAGCAAAAAUCGCUUGCAACCCGAUAUCAUCCCUCCACGCUCUAAAACCAGUUGAAUGUGAGAAGAGCAAGGAUCCAAGGAACAGAGGUCCUGGAGCAAAGGUAUUGGCGACAAAUUCAGACGAAAAGGCUGCCGCCACAAGCUGUGUGUUCUGUGAAAGGACAGGGCACAGUCUUCACCAGUGUUAUAAAUUCAAAGAUGAAACCGUCUCUGACCGGGUCAAGUUUGUGCAAGAAAAUAAGUUGUGCUUUGGCUGUCUGAAGUCUGGCCACCGCUCAAAGGACUGCGAAAACAGAAUGAUCUGCAAAACGUGUGAGAAAAAACACCCGACUUGCCUCCAUGAUAAUCGCACCAAGGAAGGAAGGAGGUCAACAAUGCCUGAUGCAGCAAGAGACAUGUCAAAUGGACGCAAAAUUGAACGGUCACAGGAUAGGGCAACAAGAACCUCACUUGAAGCAACAUCCAAUAGAGUCCUCCAGCAUGUCAAAGGCACUCAUACAUCCACCAUCAUCCCAGUGUGGGUGUCGGCCUCAAGUGAGCCUGAUCGUGAAGUUCUUGUGUAUGCACUUCUUGAUACACAGAGUGACACAACCUUUCUCCUGGACGACACUGCAAAGGCUCUACAUGCGAAGAACGAACCAGUUCAGCUAAAACUCUCAACAAUGGCUUCAAGAAACACUGUUGUGUCCUGUAGGAAACUGACUGGUCUGCAAGUAAGAGGAAUGCAUUCGGACAAGAUAAUUCCCCUGCCAGUGACCUAUACAAGAGAAUUCAUACCUGCAAACAGAGAUCAUAUUCCCACACCAGAGACGGCGAAAGUAUGGCCACAUCUCGAACACAUCGCAGAUGAGAUAGCUCCGCACCAAAGCUGCGACGUAGGCUUGCUAAUUGGCUACAACUGUACUCAAGCACUCGUCCCAAGACAAGUGGUUUCUGGGGAAGAAAAUCAGCCCUUUGCACUGAGAACUGACUUGGGCUGGAGUGUAGUUGGCUACGGCAACCUAUCACUCGACUAUGGAGACGCGAUUGGAGUGAGUCACCAGGUCAUCGUUAAGCAAGUGAUACCAGGUAAUCCAUCCUUUUCAAACCUCACAAGCGAAGUGCACUACGUCUGUAGAACACAAAUCCAGGAAGUUGUCUCGCCUUCAGCUGUCAUCAAGGUGCUGGAAUCUGACUUUGUGGAAAAAGCUUCAGAGGACGGCAACAUAUCUCAAGAAGACCUCAGAUUCCUGUCAAGGAUGGAAAAAGGCAUCAGGCUCAAGGAGGAUGGUCAUUACGAAAUGCCACUGCCAUUCAAGAAAGACAGACCUAACUUACCAGAUAACAAGAUAUGUGCUAUCCACCGUCUCAGAUGCCUAGAAAGGAAGCUGAAGAGAAACAAGCAGUACUACCAAGACUACAAGACCUUCAUGGACGAGACCAUAACCCGUGGAGAUGCAGAAAAGGUCCCACAAGAAGAUAUCAGCAAAGCCCCAGCAUGGUACAUUCCCCACCACGGGGUGUAUCAUCCGCAAAAGCCUGGGAAAAUUCGAGUCGUCUUUGACUGCUCUGCAAGAUUUAAAGAGACAUGCCUGAAUGAUCAUCUCCUGACAGGCCCAGAGUUGACAAACACCUUGAUCGGAGUCCUCUGUCGGUUUCGUCGAGGUCCUGUGGCAAUCAUGUGCGAUAUUGAGCGCAUGUUUCACCAGUUCCACGUGAAUGCAGAAGAUCAAGAUUACCUACGUUUCCUAUGGUGGGAGAAUGGAAAUCUCGAAGCAGAACCCUCCAUCUACCGGAUGAAAGUCCACCUGUUUGGUGCAGCCUCCUCACCUGGCUGCGCCAACUUUGGACUCAAACACCUCGCUGCUGAAGGACGUGGACGCUUCAGUGAAGACACCAUCCGCUUCAUCCAGAAUAAUUUCUAUGUUGAUGAUGGGUUGGCAAGUGUAACAUCUGAAAGGCAAGCGAUCCAACUAGUGAAAGAGGCAAGAGAACUAUGUAGCACAGGCAAACUCCGGCUGCAUAAGUUCAUCUCUACCAGCAAGGAAGUCCUAGCCACAAUCCCUAAAGAGGAAUGUGCUAAAGUUGCCAAGGACUUGGACAUGGCACUCGGAGAGCAACACAUGGAUAGAGCACUCGGUGUUCAGUGGUACGUGUCUUCUGACCAGUUCCAGUUCAGAGUGCUUGUCAAAGAAAAUCCAUUUACCCGAAGAGGAGUCUUGUCCACGGUUGCCUCAGUAUAUGACCCGCUUGGGUUCGUGGCACCCUUCAUCCUGGUUGGAAAGCAGAUACUGCAGCAGAUGUGUCGUGACAAGCUCAGUUGGGAUGACCCCUUGCCUGAUGACCUUCGACCCUUGUGGGAAUAUUGGCUCAAAGACCUGAAAAACCUGGCUGGUGUGAAGAUCCAGAGAUGCUACACUCCACCAAGCUUCAACGUCCAGCACUAUGAGCUCCACCAUUUUUCGGACGCCAGUAUGUCAGGCUACGGAGAGUGCUCAUACCUCAGAGCGGUCAGUACAUCAGGUGAAGUCCACUGUACCUUAGUCAUGGGAAAGUCAAGAGUCACCCCUUCUAAGGUCACGACCAUACCAAGACUAGAGCUGUCAGCAGCAGUGGUAGCUGUCCGCAUCAGUGACCUGCUCAAGAAAGAGCUCGAAGUAGAAUGCCUACAAGAAGUAUUUUGGACUGAUUCUAUGGUUGUACUUGGAUACAUCAGUAAUGAAGCCAGAAGAUUUCAUGUGUUCGUAGCAAACCGUGUAGAACGCAUCAAGCGAAGCACAGAGUCAGCGCAGUGGAGGUAUGUGACUACUGAGGAGAACCCAGCAGAUCACGCCUCAAGAGGUCUCACGGCAGAACAGCUUGUAGCCUCUAACUGGUUCACAGGCCCAGCCUUUCUGUGGCAGAAAGAGCUACCAAGUGGAGAUGUAAAGGUGGGAGAUAUCUCAAUUAGUGACCCAGAGCUCAAGAAGGCCCAGGUUCAUGAUACUCAGGCAAAGGAGGUGAGGUCGCUUUUAGAUCGCCUACACAAGUUCUCAGACUGGUUAAGAGUGGUAAAAGCUAUUGCCAGGCUCCAGCGCCGUGCAAAGGAGGUCAAAGGUCUCGAGCCGAAGUCCUGUGAAGCCAGCAGUCUAGAGGAAAGAAGAGAAGCAGAGAUGACCAUAAUCAAGAUGGUUCAACAUGCAACCCUAUCUCAAGAAGUCCAGUGCCUCCAGCAUCACAAGGAGAUAGGUCGCAAGUCCAAGUUGAACAAGCUAAGUCCAUUCCUGGAUAACAAAGGAAUCAUCAGAGUGGGAGGCCGCUUAACUCAUGCUGCCCUACAUCCACAUGUGAAGCAUCCAGCAGUUCUUACAAAGGACAGUCAUGUGUCAGCAUUGUUGGUCAAGCACUAUCACGAGAGAGUGCACCAUCAGGGCCGAGGAAUGACUAUGAACGAGCUCCGCUCGAAUGGCAUAUGGAUCCUUGGAUGCAGCAAGACAGUGUCAUCCCAUAUUUACAAGUGCACUAAGUGCAGGAAGUUCAGAAGAGGCACUGAACAACAAAAGAUGGCAGACCUCCCGGAAGAUAGGAUGGACACUACUCCUCCGUUCACUUACUGCGGGAUGGACUGCUUUGGACCAUUCCACAUCAAAGAAGGAAGGAAAGAGCUAAAGCGUUACGGGCUAUUACUUACCUGCAUGUGUUCUAGAGCAGUACACAUAGAGAUGCUUGAUAGCAUGACCACCGAUGCCUUCAUUAACGCUCUGCGCUCCUUCAUCGCUAUUCGGGGAAUGGUACGGCAGAUAAGAUGUGAUAGAGGGACAAACUUCGCUGGUGCAAGGCGUGAGUUUGAUGAGGCAUUGAGAGAGAUGGAUCAAGAGGAGCUCAAGGAACUGGGAUGUGAGUUCAUCAUGAACACCCCAGCUUCAAGUCACAUGGGUGGUGUCUGGGAAAGACAAAUCCGCACCAUCAGGAGUGUUUUGACGUCUAUUCUAGAACAGUCAGCCAAACAACUUGACUGUUCCUCUCUACGAACAUUCUUAUACGAAGUCAUGGCGAUCGUGAAUAGUCGACCUCUGACUACUGAUAACCUGAAUGAUUCAUCUAGUCCAGAGCCUUUGACACCGAACCACAUACUGACCAUGAAGUCUACGAUUAUAUCCCCUCCUCCUGGAAAGUUCGUUAAGGAAGAUAUUUACAUCCGCAAGAGAUGGCGUCGGGUUCAACUCCUAGCCAACAACUUCUGGUCACGAUGGAAGAAGGAGUACCUCUUAAAUCUCCAGCACAGACAGAAGUGGGUCAAAGACUGCAGAAACGCGAAGGUUGAUGACAUCGUUCUACUAAAGGAUGAGCUGACGCCGAGAAACCAGUGGAAGUUAGCUAAGAUUAUCGAAGUCUAUCCCGGGAAGGAUGAGAGAGUAAGGAAGCUCAAGCUGCUCAUCGGCGACUCAACUCUGGAUGUAAUGGGAAGGCGCACCUCCAAGCCGGUUCACCUCGAGAGACCCAUUCAUAAAACAGUCACACUGUUGGAAGCAGACUGAAGACCACAGGGUUUUAAGCCUACUCUGUUUAUUAGUGACCAAAUUUACUUUAUUUGAUGUUUUAUAUGCAGUAUAUGUCCUUAAGAUGUUUAAGUAAUCACAAGUGAUUGGUGGGAGUGUAACUGCCGCACAUUGGCAGUUUGUUUAGUUGGUUAACCUCCCGUUUUUGGUUCCUACUGGUUAUAAUGGCACUGGGGCGGAACUAAUUGCCGCCGUCAUAUGUUUCCUACACCACACCUUUAAGCGACGUACCUAGCCAAACAGCGCGAAAGAAGCAGCACAAUCAAUAAGCUAUAAAUUAAAGUUAAAAGUAAAAGCACAUAAGAAGAAGAAGAAAAAACUAUAAAGGACAAGCAAUAAGAUAAGAUUCCCUCAAGUAGUAAGCAGUGGACGAGUUCUCACGGGUUGGUUCGACCUGGAAAUAAAACCCCGUUUUCUAACAAAGA